rnacentral:rRNA from 1 species
CUACAGCCAUACCACCCUGAACAUGCUCUCUCUCAUCUGAUCUUGGUAGCUAAGCAGAAUCGGGCCUGGUUAGUACCUGGAUGGGAGA